CUAAUCUGCGAUAAGCGUCGGUAAGGUGAUAUGAACCGUUAUAACCGGCGAUUUCCGAAUGGGGAAACCCAGUGUGAUUCGUCACACUAUCAUUAACUGAAUCCAUAGGUUAAUGAGGCGAACCGGGAGAACUGAAACAUCUAAGUACCCCGAGGAAAAGAAAUCAACCGAGAUUCCCCCAGUAGCGGCGAGCGAACGGGGAGCAGCCC
rnacentral:rRNA from 1 species